AUUGAACGCUGGCGGCAGGCCUAACACAUGCAAGUCGAGCGGAUGAAGGGAGCUUGCUCCUGGAUUCAGCGGCGGACGGGUGAGUAAUGCCUAGGAAUCUGCCUGGUAGUGGGGGAUAACGUCCGGAAACGGGCGCUAAUACCGCAUACGUCCUGAGGGAGAAAGUGGGGGAUCUUCGGACCUCCCGCUACCAGUUGAGCCUAGGUCGGUUUAGCUAGUUGGUGGGGUAAAUGCUUACCCAGGCGCCGAUCCGUAACUGGUCUAAGAGGAGGAUAAGUCACACUGGAACUGAGACACGGUCCAGACUCCUACGGUAGGCAGCAGUGGGGAAUAUUGGACGAUGGGCGAAAGCCUGAUCCAGCCAUGCCGCGUGUGUGAAGAAGGUCUUCGGAUUGUAAAGCACUUUAAGUUGGGAGGAAGGGCAGUAAGUUAAUACCUUGCUGUUUUGACGUUACCAACAGAAUAAGCACCGGCUAACUUCGUG
rnacentral:rRNA from 1 species